GAUAAAGAAAGGAUUAAACCAAUAUAAGUAGGUCUACAGCCUACCGCCUAACAUUCGGCCAAUCUACCU
rnacentral:tRNA from 1 species